GACGAACCGUGCAAACGUUUAUUCGGAAUCACUGGGCUUAAAGGGCGCGUAGGCGGGCCGCCCCGGUCCGGGGGUGAAAAGCCUCCAGCUCAACUGGAGAAGUGCCUUGGAUACCGGCGGCCUCGAGGGAGGUAGGGGCGUGCGGAACUUCGGGUGGAGCGGUGAAAUGCGUAGAUAUCCGAAGGAACACCGGUGGCGAAAGCGGCGCGCUGG
rnacentral:rRNA from 1 species